rnacentral:rRNA from 1 species
UACGAAGGGUGCAAGCGUUACUCGGAAUUACUGGGCGUAAAGCGUGCGUAGGUGGUGAGUUAAGUCUGUCGUGAAAGCCCCGGGCUCAACCUGGGAAUGGCGAUGGAUACUGGCUCGCUAGAGUGCGGUAGAGGAGAGUGGAAUUCCCGGUGUAGCAGUGAAAUGCGUAGAGAUCGGGAGGAACACCUGUGGCGAAGGCGGCCCCCUGGUUGGAUACGUGACGCUGAGACGCGAAAGCGUGGGGAGCAAACAGGG